GGCCCCCAUUAAAAUGUAACCAGAGUCCCAUGCUCAUUGUAAAUUGUUAAGUCAACUUAAGUGAGUUAUUGUCUCUUCUGUCUGUUGUACAUUUACAUGGCCUCUUGUUCUUUCCAGCAGACCUGGGGCUUGGAUUCAGCUCCACAGCACACAGAGAAAACCAGUACCAUUCAAGAUGGCAGAAGGAUUGAAUGGUGUGGAUUUAUACUGUAGCAGGAAGAACAAACACUGCUUUUUAUGAUGAAUCUCCAACUACUGUAAAACUAGAAUGUGAGUUCUUUGAAGGAAGAUGUUUCUGUCUUGUUCAAUGCUCUGUCCGCCAGCACUUAGGACAGU
rnacentral:lncRNA from 1 species